GAUUCUCCCUCUGGAGAGCCGGGACCUAUCCCUCCUGGAUAACUAUCCCGUUGGAGCAACAUCUCUCUUCGUUUCGGAGACCACCAUCCCCUUGGACUACUCCGAUCUGCUGAACAAACUGUGCAUUGUUCUGCCUCCUGCAAACACACUUGCUAGAUUGCGACUCCACGUCAAUACAGCCCCCGCUGCACCACUCAAGGCCUAGCAACAUGCUGAACUCGUUGCACACUUCAGCCUCCUAUGGACGUAUCCUUCACAUACCGAAGAGAAAGUUUCAAUACUCC
rnacentral:lncRNA from 1 species